GACGAACGCUGGCGGCGUGCUUAACACAUGCAAGUCGAACGGAAAGGCCCUGCUUUUGUGGGGUGCUCGAGUGGCGAACGGGUGAGUAACACGUGAGUAACCUGCCCUUGACUUUGGGAUAACUUCAGGAAACUGGGGCUAAUACCGGAUAGGAGCUCCUGCUGCAUGGUGUGGGUUGGAGAGUUUCGGCGGUUGGGGAUGGACUCGCGGCUUAUCAGCUUGUUGGUGGGGUAGUGGCUUACCAAGGCUUUGACGGGUAGCCGGCCUGAGAGGGUGACCGGCCACAUUGGGACUGAGAUACGGCCCAGACUCCUACGGGAGGCAGCAGUGGGGAAUAUUGCACAAUGGGCGGAAGCCUGAUGCAGCAACGCCGCGUGCGGGAUGACGGCCUUCGGGUUGUAAACCGCUUUCGCCUGUGACGAAGCGUGAGUGACGGUAAUGGGUAAAGAAGCACCGGCUAACUACGUG
rnacentral:rRNA from 1 species